GACGAACGCUGGCGGCGUGCUUAACACAUGCAAGUCGAGCGGAUCGGCGAACGGGUGAGUAACGCGUGUGUAACUGCCCCCCUCUCUGGGGUAACAGUUGGAAACGGCUGCUAAUACCGGAUAGUGGGGGAUGACUCGCGUCCUAUCAGCUUGUUGGUGGGGUAGUGGCCUACCAAGGCGACGACGGGUAGCCGGCCUGAGAGGGCGACCGGCCACAUUGGGCUGAGGUACGGCGCAAAGUCGUACGGGAGGCAUCGGGGGGGAAUAUUGCACAAUGGGGGAAACCCUGAUGCAGCAACGCCGCGUGCGGGAUGACGGCCUUCGGGUUGUAAACCGCUUUCAGCCAUGACGCGGUAGUGGCAGAAGAAGCACCGGCUAACUACGUGCCAGCAGCCGCGGUAAUUC
rnacentral:rRNA from 1 species